UACGUAGGGGGCAAGCGUUGUCCGGAAUCAUUGGGCGUAAAGAGCGUGUAGGCGGCCUGCUAAGUCGGCUGUGAAAGUCAAGGGCUCAACCCUUGAAUGCCGGCCGAUACUGUCAGGCUAGAGUCCGGAAGAGGCGAGUGGAAUUCCUGGUGUAGCGGUGAAAUGCGCAGAUAUCAGGAGGAACACCUAUGGCGAAGGCAGCUCGCUGGGACGGUACUGACGCUGAGACGCGAAAGCGUGGGGAGCGAACAGG
rnacentral:rRNA from 1 species